CGUUCCCGGGUCUUGUACACACCGCCCGUCACACCAUGGGAGCGGGUUUUACCAGAAGUAGGUAGCUUAACCGCAAGGGGGGCGCUUACCACGGUAGGAUUCGUGACUGGGGUG
rnacentral:rRNA from 1 species